GUGAGCACAUGUGCCAUAUAGCAAAAAAUUAUCAAAAAAUUAAAGUGACUUAACCUACCUAAGCUACUUCACAGUCCUUGAAUUCAUGUGAGGAAUUAGCUGCCCCUUGAGGGUGAUUUGCAACUAUACUACUACUACUACUGGGUAUCCCUUCUGAUUCUUGACCGAGGAAAAUUUUAAUUCCAAAAACAAAACCAAUCCUCUAAGCAGAAAUGUAUCAUGUUGCCUUUAUUUCUCCAAAGGUUUCUGGCUCUGCUAGCCUUCAGGGUGCUGAGAUGAGCGUUAUCAUAAAGAAUGAACCCUUUGGAGAAAAUGAUCCACUGCAGGGAAUAUUCUUCAGCAAAUGGGACAAGAGGAAGCUGAGACCCGGAGGCCUCUUAAGAAUCACAGGUCCCUCAGCCUCACCUACCCCAGGCACAGAUAACCCCAGGUCCUGUUAUAAGCAUUUUUAAGCAGUGAGCUGAAUUGGACUUAAAAUACCAUGAACAGCAGCUAUAGAUCUUCACUGCAGAAACAGAAAUAACAUGAAUGCUAAUUUCUGAGAGAAAACACAACCAAAGAAUUCAAGUCUCAGCUCAUGACCAAGCUAAGUUUAUGUUAUUUAUUUAAGCCAUCUCUUGCUGCAAGCAAAGGAUGGGAGAUCAGCAUACUUGUCAUCAUUUGCUACAAGUGAAGAAGGUGAGCUUAAGGUCCCGUACUCUUUUCUGGUCCACGUGCAGAGUAAUG